rnacentral:rRNA from 1 species
UACGUAGGGUGCAAGCGUUGUCCGGAAUUUAUUGGGCGUAAAGAGCUCGUAGGCGGUCUGUCGCGUCUGCUGUGAAAACUCGGGGCUUAACCCCGGGCCUGCAGUGGGUACGGGCAGACUAGAGUGCGGUAGGGGAGACUGGAAUUCCUGGUGUAGCGGUGAAAUGCGCAGAUAUCAGGAAGAACACCCGUGCAAGGCGGCCU